UAACACGUGGGUAACCUGCCUGUAAGACUGGGAUAACUCCGGGAAACCGGGGCUAAUACCGGAUGGUUGUUUGAACCGCAUGGUUCAGACAUAAAAGGUGGCUUCGGCUACCACUUACAGAUGGACCCGCGGCGCAUUAGCUAGUUGGUGAGGUAACGGCUCACCAAGGCGACGAUGCGUAGCCGACCUGAGAGGGUGAUCGGCCACACUGGGACUGAGACACGGCCCAGACUCCUACGGGAGGCAGCAGUAGGGAAUCUUCCGCAAUGGACGAAAGUCUGACGGAGCAACGCCGCGUGAGUGAUGAAGGUUUUCGGAUCGUAAAGCUCUGUUGUUAGGGAAGAACAAGUGCCGUUCAAAUAGGGCGGCACCUUGACGGUACCUAACCAGAAAGCCACGGCUAACUACGUGCCAGCAGCCGCGGUAAUACGUAGGUGGCAAGCGUUGUCCGGAAUUAUUGGGCGUAAAGGGCUCGCAGGCGGUUUCUUAAGUCUGAUGUGAAAGCCCCCGGCUCAACCGGGGAGGGUCAUUGGAAACUGGGGAACUUGAGUGCAGAAGAGGAGAGUGGAAUUCCACGUGUAGCGGUGAAAUGCGUAGAGAUGUGGAGGAACACCAGUGGCGAAGGCGACUCUCUGGUCUGUAACUGACGCUGAGGAGCGAAAGCGUGGGGAGCGAACAGGAUUAGAUACCCUGGUAGUCCACGCCGUAAACGAUGAGUGCUAAGUGUUAGGGGGUUUCCGCCCCUUAGUGCUGCAGCUAACGCAUUAAGCACUCCGCCUGGGGAGUACGGUCGCAAGACUGAAACUCAAAGGAAUUGACGGGGGCCCGCACAAGCGGUGGAGCAUGUGGUUUAAUUCGAAGCAACGCGAAGAACCUUACCAGGUCUUGACAUCCUCUGACAAUCCUAGAGAUAGGACGUCCCCUUCGGGGGCAGAGUGACAGGUGGUGCAUGGUUGUCGUCAGCUCGUGUCGUGAGAUGUUGGGUUAAGUCCCGCAACGAGCGCAACCCUUGAUCUUAGUUGCCAGCAUUCAGUUGGGCACUCUAAGGUGACUGCCGGUGACAAACCGGAGGAAGGUGGGGAUGACGUCAAAUCAUCAUGCCCCUUAUGACCUGGGCUACACACGUGCUACAAUGGACAGAACAAAGGGCAGCGAAACCGCGAGGUUAAGCCAAUCCCACAAAUCUGUUCUCAGUUCGGAUCGCAGUCUGCAACUCGACUGCGUGAAGCUGGAAUCGCUAGUAAUCGCGGAUCAGCAUGCCGCGGUGA
rnacentral:rRNA from 1 species